GAUGAACGCUGGCGGCGUGCUUAACACAUGCAAGUCGAACGAGAAGUGGAGACGGAAACCUUCGGGCGGAAGACUUUAUUUCGAGUGGCGGACGGGUGAGUAACGCGUGGGUAACCUGCCUCAUACAGGGGGGUAACAGUUGGAAACGACUGUUAAUACCGCAUAAGACCACAGCACCGCAUGGUGCGGGGGUAAAAACUCCGGUGGUAUGAGAUGGACCCGCGUUCGAUUAGCCAGUUGGCGGGGUAACGGCCCACCAAAGCGACGAUCGAUAGCCGAUCUGAGAGGAUGACCGGCAACAUUGGGACUGAGACACGGCCCAAACUCCUACGGGAGGCAGCAGUGGGGAAUAUUGCACAAUGGGGGAAACCCUGAUGCAGCGACGCCGGGUGAGUGAAGAAGUAUUUCGGUAUGUAAAGCUCUAUCAGCAGGGAAGAAAAUGACGGUACCUGAGUAAGAAGCCCCGGCUAACUACGUG
rnacentral:rRNA from 1 species